rnacentral:rRNA from 1 species
GAUGAACGCUGGCGGCGUGCCUAACACAUGCAAGUCGAACGGAGUUUAUAUUAUGAAGUUUUCGGAUGGAAUUUUAUAAACUUAGUGGCGGACGGGUGAGUAACGCGUGGGUAACCUGCCUCAUACAGGGGAAUAACAACUCGGAAACGGUUGCUCAAACCGCAUAAGCACACACUAUCGCAUGAUAGAGAGUGCAAAUAUUUAUAGGUAUGAGAUGGGCCCGCGUAUGAUUAGCUAGUUGGUGAGGUAAUAGCUCACCAAGGCGACGAUCAGUAGCCGGCUUGAGAGAGUGAUCGGCCACAUUGGGACUGAGACACGGCCCAAACUCCUACGGGAGGCAGCAGUGGGGAAUAUUGCACAAUGGGGGAAACCCUGAUGCAGCGACGCCGCGUGAGUGAAGAAGUAUUUCGGUAUGUAAAGCUCUAUCAGCAGGGAAGAAAAUGACGGUACCUGACUAAGAAGCCCC